rnacentral:rRNA from 1 species
AACGAACGCUGGCGGCAUGCCUAACACAUGCAAGUCGAAUGAGACCUUCGGGUCUAGUGGCGCACGGGUGCGUAACGCGUGGGAACCUGCCCUUAGGUUCGGAAUAACUCCCCGAAAGGUGUGCUAAUACCGGAUAAUGUCUUCGGACCAAAGAUUUAUCGCCUUUGGAUGAGCCCGCGUUGGAUUAGCUAGUUGGUAGGGUAAAAGCCUACCAAGGCGACGAUCCAUAGCUGGUCUGAGAGGAUGAUCAGCCACACUGGGACUGAGACACGGCCCAGACUCCUACGGGAGGCAGCAGUGGGGAAUAUUGGACAAUGGGCGAAAGCCUGAUCCAGCAAUGCCGCGUGAGUGAUGAAGGCCUUAGGGUUGUAAAGCUCUUUUACCCGGGAUGAUAAUGACAGUACCGGGAGAAUAAGCUCCGGCUAACUCCGUG